rnacentral:lncRNA from 1 species
AGAUGGUUGUAUCAAGAGAGUCUCAUUUAAUAGCCCAUAGCCACUGCUUUAGCGUGGCUUCACAUAUUGGCCCAGACAAUACCAUGCUUUCUCCUUCUGUGCUUGUGUUUUUGUAAGUUCCUUAAUUUGGUGUAAGAUAUAAAGCAGAAUAUAUUUGAGUCCUUUCAUCUCUUACUAUGAUCAUGUUUUCUUGAACUUUCUGGCCUUGAUGAGUUCUUUGCAUC